AAGAUAUUAGUAAUAAUAAUUACAUAACUUUGCCAUAGUUAAAUUACAGGUUUUACCCCUGUAUAUCUUA
ensembl:Mt_tRNA